CCUACGGGAGGCAGCAGUGGGGAAUAUUGCACAAUGGGCGAAAGCCUGAUGCAGCGACGCCGCGUGAGUGAGGAAGUACUUCGGUUUGUAAACCACUUUCAGCAGGGAAGAAAAUUACGGUACCUGACCAAUAAGCCCUGGCUAAUUCCGUGCCAGCAGCCGCGGUAAGACGCCGGGCGCGAGCGUUAUCCGGAUGUACUGGGUGUAAAGGGAGCGUAGACGGCUUAUUAAGUCAGAAGUGAAAACCCAGGGCGCAAUCUUGGGACUGCUUUUGAAACUGAGAAGCUAGAGUGCAGGAGAGGUAAGCGGAAUUCGUGGUGUAGCGGUGAAAUGCGUAGAUAUUAGGAGGAACACCAGUGGCGAAGGCGGCUUACUGGACUGUAACUGACGUUGAGGCUCGAAAGCGUGGGGAGCAAACAGGAUUAGAUACCCGAGUAGUC
rnacentral:rRNA from 1 species